GAGAAAACUUUAAUUCCAUUUCUAUAUUGUUUAUGAAUUUAUGGGCUGAUGGUUUCAAUAGAAUCAGAUUGAUCGAGAAUUUCAACUCUUUGUUACUGUUAUAGUGUUACAGGGUGGCGAAACAAACCUUGAAAUAUACGUCAUGUUGAUUUCGGCUCCUUUUCUGUCGUAUUCCGUUCAUUCUCUCACCAGGUACCACAACAGAAAAAUGACUAUGACUGUGGUCUAUUUGUUCUUUACUUCAUGGAACGUUUCAUCGAUGUGGCUCCUCGAAGGCUGGAAAAGAAAGAUUUAGCAAUGUUUAGUAACGAGUGGUUCAAACCUGAAGAAGCCUCUAGUUUGAGAAAGAAAGUCCGGAAGUUACUCUUGGAUGAAUUCUGGAAUGCAACAAGACAGAAUUGUGUUUCGGAUCAGGACCCUUUAUCUUCCGUGGGUCUGCAAGAAGAAAGGUUGCAGACAAUAGAUUGCUGACGUAGGUUGGUCCAAAAUUUGGAGUUCAGUGCUCCAUCAGCUGUAUAGCUCUUUUAGAUACUGGGAACACGUUGUGGCACUUUCACUCGUUCAAGAAUUGACGGUGAAUUGGCCGUGCAAGAAAUUUUUUGAAAUCACUUACAAGUAGUGGGCCUGAAUGCCUAUCAAAAAAAAAUAAAAAUAGUGGCCCUGAAAUUGGAUGCUCAUCCGGCUGGUGAACAUAUCGUCGAUGUCGUCUCAUACCGUUUGAUGAGGUUUAGAGGCACUUUAGAAACCGCUUCACGAAAUGUAUAGGAGGAAGACAAGGGGUCACUGAUUACAGCUUUUGCCCUUCAUGUUUUGUCAUACCUUACUUCUUUGAUGAAGUGUUUUUGUAAAUGACGGUGAAAGGAGAAAAUGUCAAAACUCUACGUGCUUAAGAAAAUCUCCUAUUCUGAAUUCAGGAUUCUGUGGGGGUGAUGGCUGCAGUUUGUUUUCCAUUAUCAGUAUUUGGAUCAAAACUACUCAUUACUUUGACAAUGUCAUGGAAGCAGAUUUUCUGUUUGCCGAUGCCUGAAAUAUAACUAAUUGGAGAUGCUUUUGUUUCCCAGA